GCCCGGUCGUGAGUCAGCGCCGGCCACGCCCCCUUGUGGUUGGCCACGCCCACCCGGCCGGGCUGUGACUCACCGGAAGUGAAUCAGAGGGUGCGGACGGCGCGCGGACGGCGGGCACCGAUAUGCGCCACUAUGCACCAGUAUGCACCAGUAUAGACCAGUAUGGGCACCGCUAUGCGCCACUAUACACCAGUAUGCACCAGUAUGCACCAGUAUGGGCACCGCUGUGCGCCACUAUGCACCAGUAUGCACCAGUAUGGGCACCGCUAUGUGCCACUGUACACCAGUAUAGACCAGUAA
rnacentral:lncRNA from 1 species